rnacentral:rRNA from 1 species
GCCAGUAGGAGGAUUGCUAGGCUUGAGAAGAGAUGAAGGACGUGGCAAGCUGCGAUAAGCCCGGGGUAGGCGCAAGCGUCCUAUGAUCCCGGGAUCUCCGAAUAGGAAUCCUGUAUUUACAUACACACCGUCCGCAAGGGCGGUGAUCGAACCGUGGGAAUUGAAGCAUCUUAGUACCAUGUGGAAGAGAAAUCAAUUGAGAUAUCCCAAGUAGCGGCGAGCGAAACGGAAACAGCCCAAACUGAAUCUGCUGUGGUAACAUGGCAGAGAUGUGGUGUUCGGUUAUGAUAUUACGAUCCAAGAAUGCAGCCGAAGUUUUUUGGAACAUUAUGGCAUAGAGGGUGAUACCCCCGUAGGCGAAACAGUAUUGGAUCUUAUCAUGACCAGAGUACUUGUCCUUGGCAGUGGGCAAGGAAAUUAGGUGAAAGUAGCAUCUAAGGCUAAACAUUACUCAAGACCGAUAGUGAACUAGUACCGUGAGGGAAAGCUGAAAAGUACCCCGGAAGGGGGGUGAAAAGUGCAUGAAACCUACUGGUUACAGACGUGGGUGGCAUAGAAGGUGAUUUUCCAGGUUGGAGGUCCUAGCAAUAGGGCUGAAGAUUUGGGUUUCUAGUCAUCAGUGUCAUCCGUUCCGUCUAGAAACACGGGCCAAGGAGCUUACCGUUAUGGCGAGCCUAAAUCUUAACAGGAUGGAGGCGAAGGGAAACCGAAUUUCCGCAACAUUGUGAGGGAAAGCGUGUGAAAGUGCGUAGAGUCAUAGCGGCAAGGCUAGAAGCCGAGCGAUCUAUCCCUGAGCAAGCUGAAGGCGGGCGAAAGCCCGUUGGAGGGCUGAAGCAGUUCUAACGUGCAAAUUGUUUGUCUGACUUGGGGAUAGGGGUCAAAAACCAAUCUAGCUCGGCGCUCGCUAGUUCCAACCGAAGCAUCUCGUAGGGUGUCCUUUGUGGAGAUGGCGCUUCCUGUAGAGCACUGAUAAGGUAGACCGGGGAAGAAAUUCCUCACUACCUAUUCAAACUCCGAAUGGAUGCGCAUCGUAGAAGCAAGGAGACGGGUUUGCGUGACGUAAGGUUCGCAACCGAGAGGGGUUUAACCCAGACCAAAGUUAAGGUCCCUAAAUUUAUGCUAAGUGUCAAGCGGAAGAGCGUCAUUACGCCAAGACAGCAGGGAGGUAAGCUCAGAAGCAGCUAUCCUUUAAAAAGUGUGUAACAACUUACCUGCCGAGCGUGGUGGCCUCGAAAAUGGACGGGGCUAAAGCAUAGUACCGAUACUUUGGAUACUUGCCUUAGGGCAAGUCAUGGUAGGUUGGCGUGGUGAUUGGGUCGAAGCAGGGUCGUAAGGUCCUGUGGACCGAUUGCUAUUGCAGAUCUUGGUAGCAGUAACAGCAUAGUAAGGUGAGAAUCCUUACCUUCGCAAGUGCAAGGGUUUCCAGGCAAUGCGUCAUCAGCCUGGAGUUAGUCGGUCCUAAGAAUAAUCUCAACAGAAUUAUUCGAAAGGGAAACUGGUUAAUAUUCCAGUACCCGACAGUGAGCGUUAUCAUCUAUAUGAUCGCUUUAAGAUAAGGCAAGUACAACCGUCGUUGUAUCUAACUUUUCGAGAUUUGGGGAGUGUCGUAAUGACGAGAACCAAUUCGAGUGGGGAAUGGCUUGGCGUUAGCUGAGUUUGUCUGAGUCUUGGGGACCGUGAAAAAUCAUGUAGAGAGCAAUCUGUCGUGACCGUACCGAGAUCCGACACAGGUGCACUGGAUGAGAAGUCCAAGAAGUAUCGGGUAUACCGUAGGCGAGGGAACUCGACAAAUUAGUCCUGUACCUUCGGUAUAAGGGAUGCCUGCAAUCCUAAUGAGAAAUUGGGAUAGCAGGUUGCAAUGACAAGGGGGUUCCGACUGUUUAAUAAAAACACAGGUGACUGCUAGUCCGAAAGGAUGUGUAUAGUCACUGAAUCCUGGCCGGUGCUGGUACCUAAAACUUGGGUUCAACCGAGCUAAGGGCCAGUUAACGCCGGGAGUAACUCUGACUCUCUUAAGGUAGCCAAAUGCCUUGUCGGGUAAGUUCCGACGUGCAUGAAUGGAACAACGAGAGCCCCACUGUCCCCGCCUACAACCCGGUGAAGCUACAUAAGGUGGACGAACAGUCCAUCAUCUUCCAUCGGGGAGAGAAGACCCCGUGGAGUUUUACUGCAGCUUGUGCUUGCGGUAUAGUUGACAUUGCAUAGUGUAUCUGGUAGCCAUGCUUAACAUCCUCCGGGGUGUUAAGAAGCGCCGUUGUAACACCAGACCUUGUUUGCAGUAUCGCUUAUCAGGUGAAGACCUGAGACACGUGCAGGUGGGCAGUUCGGCUGGGGCGGCACCCCUUUGAAAAGAUAUCAAAGGGGCCCAAAGUUCAGCUCAAACGGGUCAGAAAUCCGUUGAAGAGGGCAAAGCCAAAAGCUGGAUUGACUGGAUCUCCAAACGCACGGGAUCCAGAGACGAAAGUCGGGCUUAGCGAUCCUUCGUGUGCCCACUAUUGGGGCCCGGAGGUGACAGAAAAAUUACCCCAGGGAUAACAGGCUCGUCGCGGGCGAGAGCUCCUAUCGACCCCGCGGUUUGGUACCUCGAUGUCGGCUUUUCCUAUCCUGGUCCUGCAGCAGGGGCCAAGGGUGAGGCUGCUCGCCUAUUAAAAGGGAACAUGAGCUGGGUUUAGACCGUCGUGAGACAGGUCGGUCUCUGCCUGAUGGAAGUGUGGCUAUUUGAGGGGAAGUUGCUCCGAGUACGAGAGGAACAGAGCAGCGUGGCCACUGGUUUACCGGUUGUCUGACAAGGCAGGCCGGGCAGCUAAGCCAUCUGGGCUAAGCGCUGAAAGCAUCUAAGCGCGAAACCCUUCCUGAAACAAAAUAGCCUUUCUUAGGAUGAAGGUCGGCAGUAGAAGACUGCAUUGAUAGGAUGGAGGUAUA